rnacentral:rRNA from 1 species
GAGUUCAAGAGUACUUGAAACCGUUCAGGGGUAAACCUGAGAAACCCGAAAGGUCGAAAGGGGAAAUUCAUUCGCGUCUCGGCGAUCGAGGCGAGACGUUCGCGCGACGGACGGCGUACGCGUCGUCCGAGCCUUGCGUUUCGAGAUUCGGCGUCGAACGCGUGCACUUUUCCCCUAGUAGGACGUCGCGAUCCGUCGGGCGUCGGUUUAAGGCCCGCGCAGGAGACCGGGAGCACGUCUUCGCGGACGUUUCGCUCCCGGACGCGCGGCGACCCGGCCGACUCGCUCGACGGUAUACAGAUGGCGCGGGGCCGCUACCUCUUCAGUUAGCGUUCGGCCCGCGGCAAGCGCGUUCGGUGAAAGGCGGCGAUCGGACCCGGUGCCGGUUCCGUCCCCGAACGACUGUUGGCCGCGGUGUUCUCGAACAGACCCCGUCUCUCGAAACGCCGAUCUGCGACGCYAUAGCUUUGGGUACUWUCRGGACCCGUCUUAAA